rnacentral:rRNA from 1 species
GACGAACGCUGGCGGCGUGCUUAACACAUGCAAGUCGAACGGAAAGGCCCUGCUUUUGUGGGGUUCUCGAGUGGCGAACGGGUGAGUAACACGUGUGUAACCUGCCCUUGACUUUGGUAUAACUUCAGGUAACUGGUUCUAAUACCGGAUAGGAUCUCCUGCUGCAUGGUGGGGGUUGGAAUGUUUCGGCGGUUGGGGAUGGACUCGCGGCUUAUCAGCUUGUUGGUGGGGUAGUGGCUUACCAAGGCUUUGACGGGUAGCCGGCCUGAGAGGGUGACCGGCGACAAUGGGACUGAGAAACGGCCCAGACUGCUACGGGAGGCAGAAGUGGGGAAUAUUGCACAAUGGGAGGAAGCCUGAUGAAGCAACGCCGCGUGCGGGAUGACGGCCUUCGGGUUGUAAAAAGAUUUAGCAUGUGACGAAGAGUGAGUGACGGUAAUGGGUAAAGAAGCACCGGCUAACUACGUG